GCCCCGGUGGCGAAACUGGUAGACGCAGCGGACUUAAAAUCCGCCGCCGCCGAAACGCGGCGUGCCGGUUCGAUUCCGGCCCGGGGCACCA
rnacentral:tRNA from 1 species